AGCGAACGCUGGCGGCAGGCCUAACACAUGCAAGUCGAACGAUCCUUCGGGAUAGUGGCGGACGGGUGAGUAACACGUGGGAACGUGCCCUUUGGUUCGGAACAACUCAGGGAAACUUGAGCUAAUACCGAAUGUGCCCUUCGGGGGAAAGAUUUAUCGCCAUUGGAGCGGCCCGCGUCUGAUUAGCUAGUUGGUGAGGUAAUGGCUCACCAAGGCGACGAUCAGUAGCUGGUCUGAGAGGAUGAUCAGCCACACUGGGACUGAGACACGGCCCAGACUCCUACGGGAGGCGGCAGUGGGGAAUCUUGCGCAAUGGGCGAAAGCCUGACGCAGCCAGGCAGCGUGAAUGAUGAAGGUCUUAGGAUUGUAAAAUUCUUUCACCGGGGACGAUAAUGACGGUACCCGGAGAAGAAGCUCCGGCUAACUUCGUGCCAGCCGCCGCCGUAACAC
rnacentral:rRNA from 1 species